CCUACUAUACGAUGAGAUGUAAAACAAAUGCUUUAAAAAAACAAAACAUGAAGAGAGAACUGAAACAAUUUAUUGAAGAUAAAAUAUCACAUUCCAAAGUUCAGAGAUUCCAUGUAAACCUCCUCAAUCUAACAUGAAACCUUGUCAAAACUUUUGUAGGAGUUAGUGUCUUUUUACAUAGGUCAGGCUGUUCAUUGAUUUUUUUUUUUUUUAAAGUAAAUUAAUUGUUCUUCUACUCAAAAGACUUGCAGCUGUUGGAAUGAUAGACCUACAGGACAUCAUAAUCCUGUCUAGUAAAUGAAUUGUUAACAGGCCUACAGGAUAUAUAUCCUACUUGGCAGUUAGGUCUAGUAGUGCCUUAGAAACAUCCUAACAAUUUAAAAAGAAAAAAAAAAUCAAUGAGCAGCAAAAAAUUUUUUUGUGUAAUUCAACAAGAUGACAAUGUUAUAACAAAAUAGUUUUUGUUUUUGAAACUGGACUUCUUCAAAUCCAAUAACAUACAUUGUUGGUGGGUGCUUCUGGAUGGGUUUCUCAAUAAAAAUAUUUGGGUUUAUUCUGGGUUAAAUUUCGUCAACAAAUACCAACAUUAACAGUAUCUAGCAGAACCAAAAGAAGAGUAUUAAACCCAUGCAAAAAUAGUUUGUCAAUAAUGACUAUGUACAUAACUUGUAAACAUCUGUAGGUCUGACAAGUUGUCUUACAAAAUAAAAAGAAUAUUUGUAAUAAAAUAUGUAAUCCUGAUAGUGGGAAAUGCUAAUUUGCAUUAAUUUAAGGAAAAAAAAAACACUAAAGGUUUUCUUUACAACUGACUGUAGGCCUUUAAGAACCUGACAUGUCUCACCAAGUCACUUACAAAGUCAAAGAAAAUAGGUCAACAAAAAAACAUUUCACCAAAAAUUUGAAAAUUCAUGCAAUGUUAUGUCUUCCAUCUGGUCUGUGCAUGGGCUGGUUCAAGUUAGUAUUUUGUGUUCAUACUUAAUAUUCACAAUUUCAAAACUACAAAGAUGUAAAUCUUGAAAUACCCAUCCUUGCACCUGUCAAGUUCAAAAAGGAUUGCAAUUAAAAGCAGAGCCUUUUUUUUUCCCCUCUUUAAAAUACUAUUUACACUGCACCCCUUUUUUUUGUUCUAAAUGUCAGACUAAAAAGGUGAGGAUGUCGUAAUAUCUCCAAUUUAAAUUUACCAUAAUAUAAUCCCUCAAACAAAAGCCAUGCACUUGAUCCUUCAGCCACCAUGUUCCCUCCAUACUGAGAAUACAAAUGCACAGACCGAGAAAGUCAUUACAGAACUAAUGCUACAAAGUUCACAAAAGUGAUUAUCAGUACACUACUAGAGGAGAGCUCUGCUUAUAACAUCACCAAACCAUCACAAAAUGUACACGGACCUGAAGAUGUUCUACAUCUCACAAGGGCUUUCCUUGGUUUGGGAUUUGGUUUUAUAAAAUUAAAUAAAAUUCUUAAAUAUAUAAUGGUAAUAACUGAAUGAAUCAGUUGGGAAAAAUAAAAUUGCUUGGCUCAAUAUGGCUAAAUUGUCAAGUUUUGAUUUUUGACCUGUAACAUAAAAUAGUAACAAGUUUUGCAAUAUGGUACCUUAUAUUACUUCGGGAUAUUCUUCAAAAUUUUUCUAAAAGUGCCAAAAGAAUGAACCAUACUGAGACCAAAACACAAAAAAAGCCUAAGAACCAAUGUACAAAAACUUGUAAAUGUUCUCCAUUUGACAAGUUGAUACACAAAUUAAAAUUCAGGUACAUGCACAAAUAAAAACAAAAGAAAAAGCAAUGUCAAGGCCAUAACUGGAUCAUCUCCGGUGUUCUUAGCAAUCCAAGAGUGGCAGCAAGACAAGACAAAAAUUCAAUGAUGUUAAAGGCUAGGCCAGACUUUCAAGUGCUGAUACAGCGCACUAAACGCUGUUGUGUAGUUAAGAUGUUAACUUGGAACUCAUAAAACUUGAUUUGUGUGACUCUCUGAAUGAUCAAUCUAAAAAGACCCUACACAGUGAUAGCAGAUUAGAAGUUCCCACUAAAAUAUCAAAUGUUUGGAUUGUAAAUUAUCCAUUCAAUAAAAUAAAAUAUAUUAAACGAACUUUGGGAUAAUAAAAAAUAUACACUUUAGUUCAUGAAAUAAAAUAAUUGACUGUCAAUCAGUGUAUUGAAUUCAACAAAUCUUGUUUGUAUCAAAAGGCAACUUUACACAUUCAUUAAAUUGGAGAAACUUGAAUUUUAGAAACCAUUACAAACCUAGUCCACUAUCAGUGAUACAAGUGGACCUAAUUGUUUCAUUCAUUGAAAUAGCAAUAUAUUCUUUUUUUUGUUGUCCUUUACAAGAGAAACAAAUUUAUUGCAUGGAAAUACAUAUAGAUGUUGUUUGUAAUAGCCCAAAGUCAAAUAUUUUACAACCAUUCCCUUCCCCAUUUACCCACCCCACAAAACCCUUACAACAAUGAGAGGAAUAAAUCUCCGCCCAUAUCAACAAAAAUAUAGUUUAUCAAGUGUUAAUUAUAAACAUACAUUGUAUGUCUAGGACCUUCACUGACCUAUAAAAUGAUACAUUCAUAUACUCUAGCAAUAUAGCCAAAGAUACACUGAUCAUACACUCAAGCAAUAUGGACACACAUAUGCUUAUCAUAUACUAGCAAAAUAGUCACUGAUACAAUUCUCAUACACAUUAGCUAUAAAGCCACAGAUAUACUGGUACUUAUCUUACACUGUAACAAUAUAGCCACAGAGUUGCUUACCAUACAUGCCAGCAAUAUAGCCGCUGAUAGUUAUCAUACACUCUAGCAUUAUAGCCACAGAUACAAACUUAUCAAACCCAGACACUUUCUACUACUCUACACUGAAUCUGCCGCAUAUUUCACACUUUGUUGGACACACUUUCGUUGGCAUCAGAACACAGCAAAAUUCAGAUCUCACUUUUUUGGUUCAUCUCUUGUUCACACGUAAUAUUAAUGUGGUCUUCUUAAACAGCUCACAACAUUUGUAAAGUCCCUGUCAAAACCUUUGAAUACUACACAAGUCAAGGAUGAAAAUUAUUGCUUAUAACAAGUUCAACAUAUUACCAUCAGACUUUCAUUAACCAGUUUUAAGUUACACAUUUUUAUCUAUACAAAUCAAUCAAACAUAAUUUACUGUUACCUAAAAUGUCUU
rnacentral:sRNA from 1 species